GACGAACGCUGGCGGCGUGCCUAAUACAUGCAAGUCGAACGAGAGCGACCGGUGCUUGCACUGGUCAAUCUAGUGGCGAACGGGUGAGUAACACGUGGGUAACCUGCCCAUCAGAGGGGGAUAACAUCCGGAAACGGAUGCUAAAACCGCAUAGGUCUUCGAGCCGCAUGGCUUGAAGAGGUAAAGAGGCGCAAGCUUCUGCUGAUGGAUGGACCCGCGGUGCAUUAGCUAGUUGGUGAGGUAACGGCUCACCAAGGCCGUGAUGCAUAGCCGACCUGAGAGGGUGAUCGGCCACAUUGGGACUGAGACACGGCCCAAACUCCUACGGGAGGCAGCAGUAGGGAAUCUUCCGCAAUGGACGCAAGUCUGACGGAGCAACGCCGCGUGAGUGAAGAAGGUUUUCGGAUCGUAAAACUCUGUUGUUAGAGAAGAACAAGUGCUAGAGUAACUGUUAGCGCCUUGACGGUAUCUAACCAGAAAGCCACGGCUAACUACGUGCCAGCAGCCGCGGUAAUACGUAGGUGGCAAGCGUUGUCCGGAUUUAUUGGGCGUAAAGCGAGCGCAGGCGGUUCCUUAAGUCUGAUGUGAAAGCCCCCGGCUCAACCGGGGAGGGUCAUUGGAAACUGGGGAACUUGAGUGCAGAAGAGGAGAGUGGAAUUCCAUGUGUAGCGGUGAAAUGCGUAGAUAUAUGGAGGAACACCAGUGGCGAAGGCGACUCUCUGGUCUGUAACUGACGCUGAGGCUCGAAAGCGUGGGUAGCAAACAGG
rnacentral:rRNA from 1 species